UUUAGAUUAAAAUUUUUUCAUGGUAAAUUAAGCAUUUUCUAGUCUAAAAAUGAAUAACAGGGUUAUAUUAGGGUUUGUUAGAGAGUGGUGAGGGUUUUUAUGGCUUAAAAUAUAUAAUAAAAUAGAAAUAUGGUUUCUACUGACCCCUGCGAUAAUUGAGAGAAUACUGUAUUGCAGUCAUGUUACACAGCUUGUACUACUUACAGAUGGACCAAGGAUGUUUUUUCUUAACAAAAUGAAUUUUAGCUCAGUCUAAAGGGACUAGACAUGCUAGAUAUUUUGCAAAGAAAUGGUGUUAUAUGCUUGACCUUAUUCUACUCUUGGAAGGUGGUGAUAUGCUGGUUCCUGACAAGAGAUAAAGAAAUCAAAGUCAGCUUUUCAAGACAGCCCCAAGACUCCUCGCAACCUGUGUUCAAAUGUGAGGCUGUUGUCAGGUGAUGAAUGCAAGGAAGAGGCACUCAACUGACAUGAAACAUGUCAAAGACAACAUGAAGGUGACAUUUCAACAUAGGCAAAAAGUGGUUCAAGAACCUGCCACAGCUUCUACUGUCCUGGACCUUUUCCCAAGAUUUCUGUACACCUGGCUUGGUUGACCAAGACUUCACAAUGCUGUUUGUUGGGGAGGAAGUGUCUGCUAAGUUCCUUGCAAAGUGGCCAACCAAGCCAAGGAUCAUCAAAGAUUGCAAAAAUCUGUUUUAGAGUACAGAAUUGGAUGAGCUGCUCAUUUCUGCACAGCGUUACUCUGACGAGGGUGUUUGGGACUGCGAGGCGGCUGCCAGCUUUUGCUGCUUCACUUGUACCUCCAACAUCUAAGGGAGGGAAGUCUUCAAAGAUUAGCACAUCAGAUGCUGCUCACCACCUAAUGAAAUUCAUCAAGGUGGGAGGUAGCACGGAGGCUUUUCUUAAGGCUGGCCUCUCAGCCAUUCGUCCUGUGUGUUGGAGAAAGAAAGAACAUCAUCCAGAGUUUCUACAUUGUCCUAGAUCAAAAGGUCAUUCCCUGUGUGACACAGAUGGGAGUUGCAGGUUUUGACAAGGCAAAACUUUUCAAGGCACAUUUUUUAUUUGCCGUGUCCUUUGACAAGGCAUUGAACAACUUCUACACAUUCAUCCAGACCACCGUGUAUGGCAUUGAUGUUGGCAGUGUGAAGGAGAGUCCUCGGGUCAGGGAAACAAGAGGAAGUCUUCAUUGUACAGAUUAAAGAUAUCCACUAUUCAGCACUUUGACUGGAAAUGUUCAUCUCUUACAUUUGCAAGAUACACCACACAAGUUGCUCAGUGUUAUUUAGACAUUUGAAGUUCCAGCAUGGUUUGUACCCAGGAAGGUUUUUACGUUUGACCUGUGGAGAGCCUGGAUGUUCAUUUAUCUUUCGCACGUACUCUGAUUACAAGCGGCACUUAUUCCGAGCACAUGGAGACUGUCUUCACUCUGAGGUCAUCAAUAAUUUUGAGCCUGUACCUAACGAUGGAACCUCUGUUUCACAGCCUGUAAAUGUGGCUCAUCCCAUGACAAUUACUACACAGGUUCCAGUUGAAAAAAGGCAAAUACUGAACAUGUGCAGCUCUGUUAUUGCUCAGGUACAAUCAUCAGGAGUUCCUGAAAGUACUGUGCAGUGUUUAGUUGUUUCAUUGGAGGAACUGGUUAAUGACAUCCAUGCACAUGCAAAACAAUCUGUUGUUGACUGUUUGUCAACUGAUACCAUGAUACAGAUAUCAAGUUGGGAUGUAUGUUUGUUCUGGUGUUGAAAAUGAGAUGCCUUUGUUCAGUAAGAUUGUCAAUAUAAUUGUUAGAUUGCAAUGCUUAUCUUCUAACUUGUAAGGCUUCAACAGUAUAUUUCAAUGAUCACUUAAAUGCAUUUGUUAUUGAGGAUGGAUUAGAUGUCUUUGCACUGAUCUCUGUAGAUGAUCUGGUGUACUAUAGACCUUAUGAUAGGCAAUUUUCAAAUGGCACUGAUGACAAAAUGUACAUUGUCCCAUACUGUAAUUUUGUAUAACUUGUUUAUUUGUGGUGUAUCAGAAUACAAAGUAUUUUGGAACGUUAA